UACGGAGGGGGCUAGCGUUGUUCGGAAUUACUGGGCGUAAAGCGUACGCAGGCGGCUUUGCAAGACAGGUGUGAAAUCCCCGGGCCUAACCUGGGAACUGCAUUUGUGACUGCAUAGCUAGAGUUUGUCAGAGGGGGGUGGAAUUCCACGUGUAGCAGUGAAAUGCGUAGAUAUGUGGAGGAACACCGAUGGCGAAGGCAGCCCCCUGGGAUGUGACUGACGCUCAUGUACGAAAGCGUGGGGAGCAAACAGG
rnacentral:rRNA from 1 species